GGUGAACGCUGGCGGUAUGGAUAAGGCAUGCAAGUCGAACGGGUUUAGACCCGUGGCAGACGAGGUAGUAACACGUAGGAACGUCCCCGGAAGUCGGGCAUAUUCCGUCGAAAGACGGUGCAAUUCCCGAUGGUCUCGCAAGAGUAAAGAUUUAUCGCUUCCGGAGUGGCCUGCGUUGUAUCAGCUAGUUGGUAGGGUAACGGCCUACCAAGGCUAUGACGCAUAGGGGAGCUGAGAGGCUGACCCCCACCGAUGAGACUGAGACACGGCUCAUACCCCUACGGGGGGCCGCAGCCGAGAAUAUUCGACAAUGGGCGAAAGCCUGAUCGAGCGAUACCGCGUGGUGGAUGAAGUGCUUCGGCACGUAAACAUCUUUUAUCGGGGAAAAAGUUAUUGAUUGACCCGAGGAAUAAGGG
rnacentral:rRNA from 1 species